rnacentral:rRNA from 1 species
UCGUGGGGUGAUUUGUCUGCUUAAUUGCGAUAACGAACGAGACCUUAACCUGCUAAAUAGCCAGGCUAGCUUUGGCUGGUCGCCGGCUUCUUAGAGGGACUAUCGGCUCAAGCCGAUGGAAGUUUGAGGCAAUAGCA